rnacentral:lncRNA from 1 species
AGAGAACACACAUGAAAAGGAACAGGUUAACAGAUCUUUCUCCUUUGCUUUCCUUUUCUAUUUUCCUUUUCAUGUGAUUAUAUUUUUAUAUCAAGUUGUAUCCUGUGGUUUUAUUUUUCUCUUUUUAUUAUUCAUUUCGAGAUUUUUUUUUCCGUUAAAUCAAUGGCAAAGUUAAAACUAAAUGGUAUUAAAAUGAAUAUUCGAUAAACCUAUAUAGGGUAUCUGAAGUUUUUUUGUAUAUAAUUUAACGAAAUAUCAAAUCACAGGGUACUAAAGUGAGAAAGUACGAAACCACAGGAUACUAACUUGAUACACUUUAAACCAUAUGCUACUAAAGUGAGAAAGUGCGUAACCACAGGGGAGUAUUUGAAGUUUUUCCAUUCAAAUUAUUA